AGGGGGACAGCAAAUGUCUUGACGAACAGCUCGGUCACGAAAAAACAAUGACCAACCUUCUUCCGGCAAUAACGGGAAGCAAUGUUAUUUACGGAA
rnacentral:ncRNA from 1 species